rnacentral:tRNA from 1 species
GGUCUGUAGCUCAGUUGGUUAGAGCGCACCCCUGAUAAGGGUGAGGCCGGAAGUUCA